rnacentral:rRNA from 1 species
UACGGAGGGGGCAAGCGUUAUUCGGAAUUAUUGGGCGUAAAGGGCGCGUAGGCGGCUAGAUGUGUCAAAGGUGAAAUCCCUCGGCUCAACUGAGGAACUGCCUUUGAAACUGUCUGGCUUGAGGCCGGGAGAGGGUAGCGGAAUUCCCAGUGUAGCGGUGAAAUGCGUAGAUAUUGGGAGGAACACCAGUGGCGAAAGCGACUUUCUGGGCCAUUCCUGACGCUGAGGUUCGAAAGCUCGGGGAGCAAACAGG